AUCUGCACCACACAGGGUGAUUAGGGUGUCCCCAGGCACACUGGGCAUACCCUGUGCGCACGCCUAUGACUUUCACGUACAAGUCCACUUGCCCAUGCUUACUCUUUGAUUGGCCGGUGAAAGGAGAAGGAGCAGACCGAUGAGCCUAUCUCUCAGGUUACUCUGCCCUAUUAGUGUGUCUCCUCACCCCGCAGCACAUCUGACUUGUCUUUUUCUCCCAGUCUGAGCACUGCUGUACAGGGACUGCGAAAGGAUGUGUUCCAAGUCAGAUACAGGUACUUACACUGCUUGCACUGAAAAUAAAUACAUGUAAAGAUAUAUUAAUAAAUACAGAGUAUUUUAUAUCGAAAUUCAGCUUUAAUGCUGUACCUAUUAUGGUAGAUUUCCCAUCACUCCCUGUGGGGUCACCUGGACGUGAGGUGGUCACCUGGAUGUGAGGUGGUCACCUGGACGUGAGGUGGUCACCUGGACAUGAGGUGGUCACCUGGAAGUGAGGUGGUCACCUGGAUGUGAGGUGGUCACCUGGAAGUGAGGUGGUCACCUGGAUGUGAGGUGGUCACCUGGACGUGAGGUGGACACCUGGACGUGAGGUGGACACCUGGAUGUGGGGUGGUCACAUGGACAUGAGGUGGACACCUGGACGUGAGGUGGUCACCUGGAAGUGAGGUGGUCACCUGGACGUGAGGUGGUCACCUGGAUGUGAGGUGAUCACAUGGACAUGAGGUGGACACCUGGACGUGAGGUGGACACCUGGAUGUGGGGUGGUCACAUGGACAUGAGGUGGACACCUGGACGUGAGGUGGUCACCUGGACGUGAGGUGGUCACCUGGAUGUGAGGUGAUCACAUGGACGUGAGGUGAUCACAUGGACAUGAGGUGGACACCUGGACGUGAGGUGGACACCUGGAUGUGGGGUGGUCACAUGGAUGUGAGGUGGUCACCUGGACGUGAGGUGGUCAUCUGGACGUGAGGUGGUCACAUGGACAUGAGGUGGUCACCUGGACGUGAGGUGGUCACCUGGAAGUGAGGUCGGACUGUCUUAUAAAAGAGGUUGUGUACAAAAUUUGCUGAUGUAUAAUUUUUUAACCCCUUGGGAAAUGAAUGUUUAUAUUGUAAAUUGGAAAUCAUGAUGUACAUAUUGUUGGAAAAACAGGAAGUGAUUCUAAUGGCAAUAAAACAUGAAAUAUCUUGGAA